UUGAAAAGAACUUUGAAGAGAGAGUUCAAGAGUACGUGAAACCGUUCAGGGGUAAACCUAAGAAACCCAAAAGAUCGAACGGGGAGAUUCAUCGUCAGCGACGCUGGCUUCGCGUCGGUGGGCGAUGUCCCGCGCGAGCCUCGCGGCUCGCGCGCGGGCACGCUGCCGUGCGUCGAUGCCCGGCGUUCGUCGUCGUGCACUUCUCCCCUAGUAGAACGUCGCGACCCGCUGGGUGUCGGUCUACGGCCCGGGUGCGGUGACUGGCGCGUCGCCGGUAAAACGGCACGCGUCAAACCCCCGGUCGCCCGGCCGGCUGCCCGGCGGUACACGCAAGGUAUCAGGCCGCAGGUUGCUUUUUCUAGCAACGCGUAUGCGUCGAGGCCGUCGCAAGCGCGCGCCACGGUACACGGAGGCUAACGGACCUAGCGCCGUCACCGGUCCUGGCCCGCUGUUGGUCGUACGGUUAACCUUCGACAGGCCUACGAACGUCCCCGUCCGGGUUAACCCCCGGGCGGGGGCCGAUACCGGUCGGCGACGCUACUGCUUUGGGUACUCUUAGGACCCGUCUUGAAACACGGACCAAGGAGUCUAACAUGUACGCGAGUCAUUGGGACCAGCGAUACCUAAAGGCGCAAUGAAAGUGAAGGUCGGCCCUGGUUGUCGACCGAGGGAGGAUGAGCCGCGUCGCGAUGCCGCUCCGCACUCCCGGGGCGUCUCGUUCUCAUCGCGAGAGGAGGCGCACCCAGAGCGUACACGUUGGGACCCGAAAGAUGGUGAACUAUGCCUGGUCAGGACGAAGUCAGGGGAAACCCUGAUGGAGGUCCGUAGCGAUUCUGACGUGCAAAUCGAUCGUCGGAACUGGGUAUAGGGGCGAAAGACUAAUCGAACCAUCUAGUAGCUGGUUCCCUCCGAAGUUUCCCUCAGGAUAGCUGGCACUCGGACGUUCCGCACGGAACGCGCGCGAGUCUCAUCUGGUAAAGCGAAUGAUUAGAGGCCUUGGGGCCGAAACGACCUCAACCUAUUCUCAAACUUUAAAUGGGUGAGAUCUCUGGCUUUCUUGAACUAUGAAGCCACGAGCAUCUCGGAUCAGAGUGCCAAGUGGGCCAUUUUUGGUAAGCAGAACUGGCGCUGUGGGAUGAACCAAACGCAGAGUUAAGGCGCCCAACUCGACGCUCAUGGGACACCAUGAAAGGCGUUGGUUGCUUAAGACAGCAGGACGGUGGCCAUGGAAGUCGGAAUCCGCUAAGGAGUGUGUAACAACUCACCUGCCGAAGCAACUAGCCCUGAAAAUGGAUGGCGCUGAAGCGUCGAGCCUAUACUCUGCCGUCAGCGGCAAGUGGGGCGGCAAGUGCGCGGUUACGCGCCGCGUACGCGCCGCCACGAAGCCCUGACGAGUAGGAGGGUCGCGGCGGUGUGCGCAGAAGGGUCU
rnacentral:rRNA from 1 species